GGUAUUGUACUUUAUUUAGAAGACCUGGUUUGCAUCUAGGUAGAAGCUGCGGCUCGAUACCA
rnacentral:tRNA from 1 species